rnacentral:ncRNA from 1 species
GUGUGAGGACGACCUCCCCCAGCUCGGGAUAUCAUUCGGGACGGCCCGG